CAUGAUUACCUUUUUCAACAAACUGUGAACUAUUUUAUUCUAUUCGUGUGUGUUGAUUGUUGAUCUUCGGAUCAUUCUCAACAUCACACUGUCAUUCGAUGAACAUUAGAUAGCUGGCUUGAUUUUCGAAUCUUUCUCAGCUGAUUGUUUUGUGUUUUAAUUACCACAUCCAAUCAACCAACAAACAUAGAAA
rnacentral:misc_RNA from 1 species